AUUUUCCCAUGAUGUCAAGCAAAGAGGCACUGAGUUUGAAGGUUUGGUGCUCUUGUUCUAAUAAAAUCUCUCCAGACCUUUCUCUUCUGCUUGAUGAGACUAAGGAUAUGUGGUGGGAGUUGUCGUUGUGGUGGUCUGAUGGUGUUUGCUUUCUUGUAGUUGUACCUUUUGUUUUGCCGGUUGAAGUUGGAGAGAAAAGGAGGCAAGGACAGGAAGGUGGUCACUUCCCACGUCAUGACUGACGAGAAGCUAAGGGGGUUAGCAGACAAGUCCGGGAACAGAGGACAAGAUCAAGAAUGUCUGCCGUGGAGGUGGAAGAAUGGAUGUGUGUUGGCUCAUCGGUGUUGAGGAUGGCCAGGUUUGUUGUCAAGAAUAUCC
rnacentral:lncRNA from 1 species